rnacentral:snRNA from 1 species
CAAGGAUUCCCUUAGUAACGGCGAG